UGAAAGAGAGCUACGCGUCUUCUACGACUUAGCUGUCUUCUUCGAGUGCUUCAACUGCGACCGUUUGGAGUCGUGUGCGAAGUCGUAGCCGAUAAAGCAUUUUCCUAUGUAAGCAGUCCGACGGGAGAACAGCACCAGUGUCGAGAGGAAAGGAACUCGAUGCGCUUCCCUCUCUGAAGCCCUCAAUCGCUGCCGCCACCCCAUGCGAGCGAGCCGCACUACAAGUUUCCUCCCUUGGGUCAUCGCCACCACGUUCAUCCACGAUCUAUCGCCUACGAGGGCUUUGCCGCACGAGGAAAGGGAGAAGUCGCGGGGAUCAGCUGCGGAUUAGAAUUGGAUUCCCUUGGAGGGACGGAGCUAUAGGGAUUGCAGUGGAAUUAGCGCAAGGUUCUCAUUCCAGUUGAUCAAAUUGCACUACAAAGUCCUUAUGCUAAAUGACAGGUACUUUC